CACCACCAUCUCUUCUUUUUCAAAUUCCAAACUUUCAAAACCCUCACCACCACCUCGCCCUUGAUUACAACUCCCUGGCCUCCCCUUCCCUCUCCAUUACCACCACUCACCAUUCAUCUUCUUGUACAUCAUCAUCAUCAUCAUGCCUUUUACAAUGAAGAUUCAGCCGAUUAAUUCUAACGUCUGUUAAGAGAUGAGGAGGUAGGAAUUGGUGAAGCUGGUGGCCAAGUGGCGGUUGAAGCGCCUCUUCAAGCGCCAAUUCCCCAGUAUUCUGAGGAGCUCGGCAGUGGUGGUGGAGAAGAAUGCCAGUGACGAUGCGUAUUUCGGCAAGAUCGUAGCUGGUGCCGAUUUAAUUUGGAACUAAAUUAUGUGUCUAGUGAGAAUGGUGCACAGUUUCAUAGAAGAUAAUCAUGAUAAUAAGCACUCAGUUUUCGUUAAGUGUUCCCAUAAUCGCGCUAUAACUAGUUCAACGACAACUCCAACGACAACUCUGAUGUUGAAUCGGACGCCGCUUUUGAAAAAACUAACUAGACUUCCUCCAGAGAAACUAACACUGCUUUUUCAUAUUGUGCAACAAGUAUUAUGAUUAUAGCAAGUAGUGGCAAUGGAGAGGGAGAUGGGAGGCAGUGGUAAUCAAGGAGGUGGUGGUAAUGGUGAGGAUUUCAAAAGUUUGGGAUUUAGGGAAGAAGAGAUGGUGGUGGAGUAGAGGUUAAAGAUAAAAGAUCACUACAAGAUUUCUAUUUAUUUAUGGGACUUUUUUAUGGAGGUUUUUUAAAACCUCACCAACACAUUUUAUUUAUGGUAAUUUAAAAAACCUCCAUUAAUUAAAAUUCAAAAUUAUUAAUGGAAAGUAUAUCGUGUGAAAAUGAAAUUUGAGCGUGGUUGCUUGAUUUCCAUUUUGUUCCAUGCUCAUUUUCUCUUUUUCCCCAAAUGAGAGGCACUGAGUUAGCCGAGAGAGGGGCAUGAAACCCUAAGUUUUCUACCACCAUUUUUGCUACCGUUCUCGCUGCUGUUUCUGCCGCUGGCACCGUUAUCACUGCCGUGUCUAUUGCAAGAGAGAGCUUCUAAAUCGAGCCACCUCUUCUAUUAAUGCAUCUGUUCUCUCUAUGCUGUCGUUGCUGCCACUAUUGCCACUGCAGUUUUCGUCGCUGUUGCCGCCACAGUUUCUGCCGUCGAUGCCACCGUAGUUGCCGUGGUACAACGGAUUUUCAGAUCUAUUCACUUCGGAGCUUCUUCUUCAAUGACGCUUUUUCUCACUCCGAUUUCUCCUUUGAACUGCUGCUGGAUUGCGGUGUUCGAACAAACAGGAAUUGGAAAGAAUGCCAGCCACCCUAAUGCAAUAGAAAAUGGUCCCUAUGAUUAUACCAGAUGUGGAAAUCCCACUCGAGAUGCUUUAGAAAGUUUGUUGGCGAAACUUGAUAAGGCGGAUAGAGCUCUAUGCUUCACCAGUGGAAUGGCUGCUCUGAGUGUUGUUUCUCAUCUUGUUCAAGCUGACUAAUUGGAAAGGUGGCUUUUUUCCCCUUACAAUGCACUUCAGUGAAGACUACCCUAGCAAGCCUCCGAAGUGUAAAUUCCCACAAGGCUUCUUCCACCCUAAUGUCUAUCCAUCUGGAACUGUUUGCUUGUCUAUACUUAAUGAGGAUAGUGGGUGGAGACCAGCUAUAACAGUGAAGUAAAUUCUUGUUAGUAUCCAGGAUUUGCUUGACCAGCCAAAUCCUGUUGAUCCUGCUCAGACAGAGGGAUAUCAUCUAUUUAUCUAGGAUGCUACAGAGUAUAAAAGAAGGGUCAGGCAGCAGGAAAAGCAAUACCCACCAAUAAUCUAGUGAUACCACAGCUCACCUUAGGAACUGUUUUUGCAUCGUAAAUUCUCUCAUGCGCUAUAGCUUAAAACUGUGCAGCGUCAGCAGCAGCACCUGAAAUAAACUCUGGUUGAUAGGAAAAGUUGCUGCAGAUCAGAGUCACAAAUGGAUAUACAAAGAGCCUAAUGAACAAGAAAUCAACUUCUUGUCAGCGUGGCAUAAUUCAACUGAUUCACAUCCUAGGACUUGGGAAGCACAGUUCCAAUCUCGACUAAAGACCAUAGCUCUCAUUGCUGUAAGAGAAGGUGUUGUUCAAUUGGGAGCAAUUCACAAGAGACCAGCAGAAGCAGCACUCUUUAAUUGGAAGGAAAAAAAAUGGAGGAAACAAAGUUGAAGUCCAAAGGCGAAAGAUGGUCAUUCCACGGAAUGACCUCACUGGUGACCGGUAAAACAAGAGGCAUAGGGCAUGCCAUUGUGGGAGAGUUGGCUGAAUUUGGAGCAACUGUUCGUACAUGUUCACGUAACAAAGCAGAUUUUUAUAAGUGUUUGGAAGAGUGGAGAAGUAAGGCGCGGCAUUAGGGAUAUCUAUGUAUGCCAAAGAUAGAAAUACGCCUCCAUACUUUGCCAUUGUUGUUGCAUGACUUUGGGCUUCGAUGGUGUCGCCUCCAUCCUUUCUCUAGCGGCGAUGUUCGUCUUCUUCUUGGUAGCGUCACAGCAAAAAAGAGAUCUUUUUG